CUCUGCAUCAUUGCUUCUUGACAUAGGCGUUCUACUACCAAUCAGAAAACUGUCAGCGUUCGACAUUCUGAGCAAAAAAAGAAAAUGAGAGCAUCACAAGCUGGUCGAGGUCUCAAAUUCACAGGGUGCAUGCACCAUGCCAUUUUCCCCAGCCAUCUCCUGGGAUGAAGGUAUUUGUGCUCGAUUUUCCCCCACGCCUAUGUGUGGACCCUGACUAUCAGGCCUUAAUGCGGCAGGAGUUCCACCGCGUGGCUGUUUGCCUUGGGGUGGACUACCUCUCCAUUGCUGAGCACUUCCAUCCUCACAACAGUCAGCUUUGGUGCAGGGAUGGCAUCCGCCUGAGUGAUGAUAAUGGCAUGCCACGCUUUGUGGACCUGGGAGAUGUGUGGUGGACUGAGUGAAGGUGUGAGGUGCCACAUUGAAGGUGUUGAUGUCCUCUGCUUCCCCAAGGCACUUCUGAGGUCCAGAGGUCCAGAUUCAGUAGGUGCUGUGUCUGGUGAUGGUGGGUGUGUGUGUGUGUGUGUCGUGGUAAACGUGUCUGACGUGGUGGCAUGAGGGAAGGGGCAAGUGGUGGUUUGUUUGAGGGUGUCCGUAGUGGGAGACGUGGUGGCGUGAGGGAAGGGGCAAGUGGAGGUUUGAGUGAGUGUGUCCGUAGUGGGAGAUGUGUGCGGUGUCGGAGAAGAGGUGGUCUAAGUGAAGAAGGCAGGGGAAGUGUUGUGUUCAGUGGCAUGGAUGUCAUUGACAUUGGUCAGACAGGUUUUAUGAGUCGUGUCAGGGAGUUGUCAUUUGGAGGGGAUGAGGUGUUGGGAGAGAUCUUGGCUGCUGAUGUGAAUUUGAGCUGUGGGCCUGAUAUACCAGUAGUUAGCCCAGUGUAUAGACAGAAAUUGAAAGGUGGAUCAAAGUGUUAUAAAUGUGUUCGUUAAAUACGGACAAUAGACUAUGUACAUGUGUCAGAGUGUUAAACAGCAAUUAAACAGCUUUUGAAAACAGUAUAGACCAGAAAGGGUUUUGGGAUCUAGUUGCCAAGUCACUAAAUUGGCCACAUGGUUGUCCCUUGGACCUAAAAAAAAUCCUCUUCUCCUGCAAGUGAUCUGAAAAGAGAAUCAUCAAAAUGUAAGAAAUCUUGUGUACAGUGACAUUAACACAGCUGAUCAAAAGCAGUCUCAACAAUGUAAUCCUGAAGAGUUUGCAAAACAUAAUGAUUUAGUAGGUUCUGAUACUGAUACUGGUAUAGGUCCAGAUUGUCUAGAGAGUGCCAACUUGUUAGACAAUGGCAAAGUUGGGGACAACUUAGAUAAUAACAAUAAUGUGGUAUACAGUGAUAUUAACACUUUGGCUAAUGAAAAGCAGUCUCAACCGUGUAAUAUUGAAGAGUUUGCAAAUGAUGAUGUAAUAGGUAUAGAUUCAGGUAAUUCAGAGGGAGCCAAGGGCAAAGCUGGGAACAACUUAGAUAAUAACAGUACUUGUGACCGCACCAACGAUUUUGAUGUAGGUAGCAGUGGCAGUUCUGAUGAGUGUGACCUUAUGGUGGAAAGUGAAGUGGCAGAAGAGGAACAUGUACGUAGAUGCAGAUGACAAGCUAUCGAGUCGAAUUAGUGAAACAACUUUACAUACUGUAUUAAGACAAGAAUCCUCUUUAGGUCCAUUUACAUAUAAGUUAGAAGAGAAAGCAGUAUUUACAUUAGAAAGACAUGAGUGGGAAAAAGUUUAUAGAAGUAAUGAUAAUGGUAUUUGUUUCCGAAAUAACAACUGGCUGAAUGUGUUUGCAGGGAAAUUAAAGGAGUCUAACCCUUAUUGUGUGUUAAUGUUUAAACGACAUUACUUCAGCAAGGCUAGUAGAAGAAAUUCAGCUUUGCCGUUCCUUAAAAUUUGUGGUUACUCUGCACAUAAAUCGUACCCAGUUACCUUUAGUAUAACCAUGGAAACAAAACAUGAUCUUAAAUGUAAUGUGAGAUAUGCAGGGAAUGUUAAUCAUGUACCAAUAUCUGUGAAGGCACGGCCAUUCAGAGGCACACAGCGUAAAAACCUAACUAAGCAUCUGCAGCCAUUGAAACCUUAUGAAAUGUACUUAAAUCUUUUAUGGAAAGGCAGACAAAAGGUCACUGUCAGCCUAUAACAGAACCGGUGUACUUGGGAAAAUCAAGUCACGUCUGAGAUGUGAGAAGCUAUU